UACAGAGGGGGCAAGCGUUGUUCGGAAUUACUGGGCGUAAAGGGCGCGUAGGUGGCCUUCUAAGUUGAACGUGAAAUCCCUGGGCUCAACCCAGGAACUGCGUCCAAGACUGGGAGGCUUGAAUUCGGGAGAGGGAUGCGGAAUUCCAGGUGUAGCGGUGAAAUGCGUAGAUAUCUGGAGGAACACCGGUGGCGAAGGCGGCAUCCUGGACCGGUAUUGACACUGAGGCGCGAAAGCCAGGGGAGCAAACGGG
rnacentral:rRNA from 1 species